AUCAGUGCUGUUUUGUUAUACUUUCUCUGAACUUUCAGGUAUUUCAUAACCGGUUUGAUGGUUCAGUUGAUUUUUAUCGAGAUUUUUCUGAAUAUGAGAAUGGCUUUGGUGAUGUAAGAGGUGAAUUUUGGUUAGGAUUGAAGCAUAUACAACAGCUAGUUAUGCAAGAUAAAACCGAAAUUCGACUGGAAAUGAAAAGGAAUGAUGGUGAAGAAGGUUAUGAAGCAUAUCAAGACUUCAAGCUUUCAGGUGAUGCAAAUUAUAAGCUAUCAAUCGAUGUAGGCUCUGCAGACAGAUCAGUAGGAAUAUCAGCCAUAUAUUGUUUCGCCGGAAGCAAUGGUUAUUCUUUCGCAACAUUUGAUACGGAUGCAUUCGGAAGUUGUUCUUGUGCCGAACAAUACCACGGAGGGUGGUGGUAUGGCAGCACGUGUACAAUGGUAAAUCUUAACGGUAAAUAUUGUACUCCAGGAACAUUGUGUGGUGAUGGCAAAUAUCCAAAAAAAGGACACUAUCAUUACGGAUUUUCUCAGUACGAAUCUUUGAUGACAUCUCGAAUGAUGAUUAAACGUGUAUAAAAUAUACAAGUAAUGUCAGUAAUACAGGGGUGUAUUCCUUUCUUCGCACUUGAAAAUGUACUGCAAUGUUUUAUCAGCAACAUUUGAAUUAAGCUCGAGCCCGAUUCCUAGAUAAACCAAUAUUGGUAUCACGCGAGAAGGUGUGGUCGUUGUUCAAGUUAAGCUCGAACUCACAAGCUAGCGGACUGGAUCGCAUAUACGAUCAUGUGACAUUAAAAGGGAUAUUAUUUUCCUCCAUGUAAGGAGAGGAACGUGAAUUGUACAUAAACCUACACUUACAUAUGCCAUAGAACAGUAUAUAACUUCCUGAAAUUUGUAUAUAUUUUUUCAUUAAUUUUAACUGACGAAGCUUUAUUUUACCAUAAUAAGAAAUACAAUAUCAUGUGUGCAUUUCAUUUUAGGACGUAAAUCAAUCAACCAGAUAAGUUACUUAUGGGCCGGGGAGCUGGGUAUACUGAAGUCACGAUUCAGAUGAGAAAAAUUGUCUAGUGUUCUAAUAACUUGCUGUCAUAAAUGCAAAUCACACAACAUAUCUAUUUCAUUUAAACAGUUGUGAAGGAAUACACCUAGUGACUGUAACUAAUUUUGCUAUUAUAAAACAGUUUUCUUACAAACUGUACAUGUCCUCGUAUUGCUGUGUUUAUCUCUCAUAAAGUUCUCAGACAGUUUAACCCUUUAAAUUGUCUUAAUUUAACAUUUCACUGCUGCUUUUUGCGACUUACUUUGCGAUUUUUCAAGACUGUGGUUCUUCAUAUGUUUGAUUGCUCUUGAUGUCUACUUAUAUUGUAUGUAUAUAUAGUUGUCGAUGUUGAUCACAUACUAGUUUAAAUAUGUUCACGUAAUUAACAUUCAUAUACUACUGGCAAAUCAAAUUAUCAGAUUCGUUUGAAAUACUUAUCUGCCCAUGAAGUUAUCCUUUCUGUCCCUCAAUGGAAUGCAACCUAAGCUAUCUGGGUAUGUUUUUAUAAUCUGAGUCUUAAGGUCUAUAGGUAACUUAAAUUAUGUAGUAUAAUAUAUUUCAGAUGUAUUUUUUUUUAAUGUGCAUAUAUGGACAACUAAAACAAAACCUAUAGUUACCUCGUUAUAUCUCUAUUAAGUACGAAUUUUAAGGAGUGCUUAAACUAUGUAUAGCACAAUUAAGGUUUAAAAUAAAACAAAGCCAUUCAGUAAUUGGAGGCUGUACAAGUAUGCUCAACUCACUUCAAAUACCUCAUCCCUGUGAUAAAUAUGCUAGCAGGAGAUCUCCACUGUCGGCAAGAAGCAGAUGUCACAGAAAAAUCCCUAGAACGAACUGUCUAGUAUCACAGACUUCAAAAUAUCAUAGUUUUAUCAUCUUGACAUUUACAUCAAAGCGUCGUUACUUUACAUGUACAAUUAUUUUCAUGUGAAGUGUUGUAUGGAGGGUUGCGUUUUUUUUUGUCUGGUUAAAGGUCAAUGCAAGUCUGAACUCAGAUAACAAAUAGUAUGUGAUACAGUUUCCUUAGGCAGGUAGCAUUUAGAAUAGAGUAUCCGAAAAUCCUCCAACUAACGUUUAGUUUAAAGUAUUUCAUUUUUAAAAAGAUACAGCAACUAUUUCUUAUUUGCACGAAAGCAACGGAAUGUUUUAUACAGAUGGUGCGAGCGUAAUCACCGAGAUUUUAUGCCCGAUUCAUAUACGGUGUUGGAGAGAGAAUUAUUUGCGAUAUUUUUUCCACCUUCCUUUUGUUAGGUAUAUAAUAACAAAUGUUAUAAUUUGAAAGACGGACAAGCCCAUUAUAGAAAUUUAGUGGGGCAAGAGUUAAACUCAAGUCUGAAUAAUUGACCUACUCUGUACACAAUCUUAAAAAGUUCAAUUUAAAUGCGUAACUCGAUUGCUACAAUAUGGUGUUGUAAAUGUUACAUAAGAAAGAUAUCUGAUAAAGACUUCUCCAGCUGCAGCAAUUAAAAACUCUAUUGUUUAAUGUUUCUUGUAUACAAGACUUCGUUUGUAUGUAACAAGACUUUAUUCAUAUUAACUAUAUUUUAUCUUAUUCAAUGAAUACAACUAUAAACAAUUCAAGCAUGCUCUUAAUGAGUGUUUCUAACGACUUGAUCCAAUU